UCCGGCCGCGGGCUUGGAAAAGAGUUAUGGCUAAACAUCAUCCAGAUUUGAUUUUCUGCCGCAAGCAGGCUGGUGUAGCUAUCGGAAGACUGUGUGAAAAAUGUAAGCGGAACAUGCCCCAUCACACCUUGCCUCUAUACUCUUUGAAGAGCCAUCAAUUCCAGAGGAACACAAAAAAAGCCUUAAAUGGAUAUACCAGGCUGCAAAGAACACAGAAUACCUGGCUGCAGCCAAAGACCUCCCCCCACCACCACCAUCUUCCCACUUAAGCUUGCAAUUUUUAAUACUUCAUAUUUAGGUUUUAGGGAAAAAAAGAGUCUACUUUUGGACAGUAAGAUUUGUCAGAGUAAUGGGGACCUUCCCAGCCCAAUGUGUGUGCAAAAAGGACAUGCAGUUUGUUGACAACAACUACAUAGAUUUAAAAGCUCCCAGACAAUAUUCCAAACGCUUUGCAUGCAUUAGUUAACUGAGGUGAAUACAAGAUAAGGCUUAUGCUGUCGAGAUAGAAGAAGGUCCUAAAGUCACAGUUAUUUCCCUCGUAGGGCAGAGGAAAGAUCUUAGGGAAGUAAUUGCUGUUGACUGUAACCCAGUUCUGUCUCUGCAGGUGAUGGCAAAUGUGUGAUCUGCGAUUCCUACGUGCGUCCCUGUACCCUGGUUCGCAUAUGUGAUGAGUGUAACUAUGGAUCCUACCAGGGCCGCUGCGUGAUCUGUGGAGGUCCCGGAGUCUCUGAUGCCUACUAUUGUAAAGAGUGCACCAUUCAGGAGAAGGAUAGAGAUGGUUGCCCAAAGAUUGUCAAUUUGGGGAGCUCUAAGACAGACCUGUUCUAUGAGCGCAAAA
rnacentral:lncRNA from 1 species